rnacentral:rRNA from 1 species
AACGAACGCUGGCGGCAGGCUUAACACAUGCAAGUCGAGCGCCCCGCAAGGGGAGCGGCAGACGGGUGAGUAACGCGUGGGAAUCUACCCAUCUCUACGGAAUAACGCAUGGAAACGUGUGCUAAUACCGUAUACGUCCUUCGGGAGAAAGAUUUAUCGGAGAUGGAUGAGCCCGCGUUGGAUUAGCUAGUUGGUGGGGUAAAGGCCUACCAAGGCGACGAUCCAUAGCUGGUCUGAGAGGAUGAUCAGCCACACUGGGACUGAGACACGGCCCAGACUCCGACGGGAGGCAGCAGUGGGGAAUAUUGGACAAUGGGCGCAAGCCUGAUCCAGCCAUGCCGCGUGAGGGAUGAAGGCCCUAGGGUUGUAAAGCUCUUUCACCGGUGAAGAUAAUGACGGUAACCGGAGAAGUAGCCCCGGCUAACUUCGUGCCAGCAGCCGCCGCAGUAA